UGGUUUAGGAUCAGGCUCGACUUCUUUUUCUUCUUCAGGAAGCUCAUCAUAAAUGCCUGUGUAAGGGGUAUUUUCAAGAAUUCUUUCCAGGAUAACUCUCCCCUCGUCUGUGAGUUUGUGUGUGAAUGAUCCUCCUGAAGCAAUGUCAAGGUGAAGAGCAGCUUCCUUGUUUAGACCACGAUAGAAGUGGUAGUACAGU
rnacentral:lncRNA from 1 species